UACAAAUUUGGUAAACGUUUG
rnacentral:piRNA from 1 species